CCUGCAAAACAACAGGUCAUGAAGAGAGGAAUGAGGAAAGCAGAGAGGGGCUCACAGCUUGCUAUUGGAGCAAAUAAUGAGAAAUUUAUCUGAAGGAACACUGCAAGAUGUUACACUGCAGAAUACCCAGUGAGCAGCAGAGAGACGAAAACAACGUGGUCCUGUGCUUCAGCUGCAGCAUUUAGGGACCGCUGCUGGAUUACUGUCCCUGGAUAUUGGCAUGGCUGUCUUUCUGCACGGAAAACAAGUGGAGAAUAUUGCUUCAGUCCAAGUAGUGGAAUUACCUUAGAAUAAGUGUGCAACAGAAGUACGAAGAAUCAAGCCAGACUCUUAAUUUGACUGUAGUGAAGCACAGACAUUUUUCUGCCUCUCAGAGCUCUGUACAAGUUUAUGAGCAAUAAUUUAGUCAUUGAUUUAAAAAAAAAUACUACCGCACUACUUUGUACAGAUUUAAUAUAUAUGAGAUAUA
rnacentral:lncRNA from 1 species